rnacentral:rRNA from 1 species
AACGAACGCUGGCGGCAUGCCUAACACAUGCAAGUCGAACGAGACCUUCGGGCCUAGUGGCGCACGGGUGCGUAACGAGGGGUAACCUGCCCUUGGGUUCGGUAUAACUCCCCGUGAGGUGACCUCAUGAAACUUGGGCUCAUACGGGCUAAGAGUUUUUGCCUUUGGGUGGGGGCUGGUUGGAUUAGGCGGUUGGUAGGGUAAAAGCCUCCCAACGGCACGUUGCAUAGCUGGUCUGAGAGGAUGCUUAGCCACACUGGGGCUGAGACACGGCCCAGACUCCGACGGAGGGCAGCAGUGUGGAAUAUUGGACGAGGGGCGAAAGCCUGAUCCAGCAAUGCCGCGUGAGUGAGGAAGGGCUUAGGGUUGUAAAGCUCUUUUACCCGGGAUGAUAAUGACAGUACCGGGAGAAUAAGCUCCGGCUAACUCCGUG